rnacentral:rRNA from 1 species
AGUGAACGCUGGCGGUAGGCCUAACACAUGCAAGUCGAACGGCAGCACAGUAAGAGCUUGCUCUUACGGGUGGCGAGUGGCGGACGGGUGAGGAAUACAUCGGAAUCUACUUUUUCGUGGGGGAUAACGUAGGGAAACUUACGCUAAUACCGCAUACGACCUACGGGUGAAAGCAGGGGAUCUUCGGACCUUGCGCGAUUGAAUGAGCCGAUGUCGGAUUAGCUAGUUGGCGGGGUAAAGGCCCACCAAGGCGACGAUCCGUAGCUGGUCUGAGAGGAUGAUCAGCCACACUGGAACUGAGACACGGUCCAGACUCCUACGGGAGGCAGCAGUGGGGAAUAUUGGACAAUGGGCGCAAGCCUGAUCCAGCCAUACCGCGUGGGUGAAGAAGGCCUUCGGGUUGUAAAGCCCUUUUGUUGGGAAAGAAAAGCAGCAGGUUAAUACCCCGCUGUUCCGACGGUACCCAAAGAAUAAGCACCGCCUAACUUCGUG